GAGACCACACUAGUCAUGGUUGCUUGCGCAAGCAUGACUCAUUCAUUGUAAGUUCGUAUUAUGAGGCCUCGCGGAAUGCGAAAGUCCAAGAGCGCCAACUUGUCUCUUUGGGAGGUUCCUCCGGGUUCCUUAGGGUUGGCGUACCAUGCUUCGUGUGAGACCUAGGCCGCUUGGACCUAGAGUUAAGCUGUUGCAUGUUUGAGGAUGCCUUAGGCGGACGCCAUGGUGACGCGUAUGAAUGGAUUAACGAGAUUCCCACUGUCCCUAACUACUAUCUAGCGAAACCACAGCCAAGGGAACGGGCUUGGCAAAGACAGCGGGGAAAGAAGACCCUGUUGAGCUUGACUCUAGUCUGACUUUGUGAAGAAUCAUGCAUGGUGUAGUAUAAGUGGGAGUGUUUCGGCACGUCAGUGAAAUACCACUA
rnacentral:ncRNA from 1 species